UUUCCUGUGGCUCAGUUGGUAGUGCAUUGCGCUAACAACGCAAAGUUUGUGGGUUCAAAUCAAGCAAGAACU